UAGGUGGAUGCUCACUGGUUUGAGCACUUAGCUGUUAACUAAGACUUUGUAGGAUCGAGGCCUACCCAUCUAG
rnacentral:tRNA from 1 species